UAGCCUUGACAUCCCAAGAAUACACCAGAGAUGGAGUAGUGCCUUUCGGGGAACUUGAAAACAGGUGCUGCACGGCUGUCGUCAGCUCGUGUCGUGAGAUGUUGGGUUAAGUCCCGCAACGAGCGCAACCCUCGUCCUUAGUUGCCAGCAGGUUAAGCUGGGCACUCUAAGGAGACUGCCUUCGUAAGGAGGAGGAAGGUGAGGACGACGUCAAGUCAUCAUGGCCCUUAUGGCUAGGGCUACACACGUGCUACAAUGGGGCGUACAGAGUGUUGCGAUACCGCGAGGUGGAGCUAAUCACUUAAAGCGUCUCUCAGUUCGGAUAGCAGUCUGCAACUCGACUGCUUGAAGCUGGAAUCACUAGUAAUCGUAGAUCAGCAAUGCUACGGUGAAUACGUUCCCGGGUCU
rnacentral:rRNA from 1 species